rnacentral:miRNA from 1 species
GAAGAUUUAAUAAGAUUGGGG